rnacentral:rRNA from 1 species
UACAGAGGGUGCGAGCGUUGUUCGGAAUUAUUGGGCGUAAAGGGCGCGUAGGCGGCACUGCAAGUCAGUUGUGAAAUCUCCGGGCUUAACCCGGAAAGGUCAACUGAUACUGCAGGGCUAGAGUGCAGAAGGGGCAACUGGAAUUCUCGGUGUAGCGGUGAAAUGCGUAGAUAUCGAGAGGAACACCUGCGGCGAAGGCGGGUUGCUGGGCUGACACUGACGCUGAGGCGCGAAAGCCAGGGGAGCGAACGGG